rnacentral:rRNA from 1 species
AUAUUACUCAGCGGAGGAAAAGAAACUAACAAAGAUUGCCUUAGUAACGGCGAGUGAAGAGGCAAGAGCUCAAAGUUAAGAUCGUGCGGCAACGUACGAAUUGUAACCUCAAGGGGGGACAUAAACCAGACUGACGCACAAGUUCCGAGGAUUCGGACGCCAUAGAGGUAUAG